rnacentral:rRNA from 1 species
GAUGAACGCUGGCGGCGUGCCUAAUACAUGCAAGUCGAGCGAACAGACGAGGAGCUUGCUCCUCUGAUGUUAGCGGCGGACGGGUGAGUAACACGUGGAUAACCUACCUAUAAGACUGGGAUAACUUCGGGAAACCGGAGCUAAUACCGGAUAACAUGUUGAACCGCAUGGUUCAACAGUGAAAGACGGUCUUGCUGUCACUUAUAGAUGGAUCCGCGCCGCAUUAGCUAGUUGGUAAGGUAACGGCUUACCAAGGCAACGAUGCGUAGCCGACCUGAGAGGGUGAUCGGCCACACUGGAACUGAGACACGGCCCAGACCCCUACGGGAGGCAGCAGUAGGGAAUCUUCCGCAAUGGGCGAAAGCCUGACGGAGCAACGCCGCGUGAGUGAAGAAGGUCUUCGGAUCGUAAAACUCUGUUAUUAGGGAAGAACAAAUGUGUAAGUAACUAUGCACGUCUUGACGGUACCUAAUCAGAAAGCCACGGCUAACUACGUG